ACCCGCUGAACUUAAGCAUAUCAAUAAGCGGAGGAAAAGAAACCAACAGGGAUUACCUCAGUAACGGCGAGUGAAGCGGUAACAGCUCAAAUUUGAAAUCUGGGCCUUUCAGGUCCCGAGUUGUAAUUUGUAGAAGAUGCUUUGGGUGUGGUCCCGGUCUAAGUUCCUUGGAACAGGACGUCAUAGAGGGUGAGAAUCCCGUAUGUGACUGGGUGCCUUCGCCCGUGUAAAGCUCUUUCGACGAGUCGAGUUGUUUGGGAAUGCAGCUCAAAAUGGGUGGUAUAUUUCAUCUAAAGCUAAAUAUUGGCCAGAGACCGAUAGCGCACAAGUAGAGUGAUCGAAAGAUGAAAAGCACUUUGGAAAGAGAGUUAAACAGUACGUGAAAUUGUUGAAAGGGAAGCGCUUGCAACCAGACUCGCACGUCGUCGAUCAUCCGGGGUUCUCCCCGGUGCACUCGGCGGCAUUCGGGCCAGCAUCGGUUUGGGCGGCGGGACAAAAGCUGUGGGAAUGUGGCUGCCUUCGGGCAGUGUUAUAGCCCUCGGUACAAUGCCGCCCGCCCGGACCGAGGACCGCGCUUCGGCUAGGAUGCUGGCGUAAUGGUUGUAAGCGACCCGUCUUGAAACACGG
rnacentral:rRNA from 1 species